rnacentral:lncRNA from 1 species
GUGCUGACUGCUUAAUAUUGAAAAACUGUAUUGGUGACCCCUGUCUGAUAGUUUUGUAUUUGUUGCUAAUGUGAUUGAAUUUGACUGUUUUUAUGACAGCUCCUUUCCGCCUUUCACAUAAAUCAACAAUGAAAACAUCAUUGCGCAUGGAAAGCUGUAAAAGUCAUCUUGAUAACUAGCGAAACUAAUCGUCAGGAAAAAAAACC